rnacentral:rRNA from 1 species
UACGUAGGGUGCGAGCGUUAAUCGGAAUUACUGGGCGUAAAGCGUGCGCAGGCGGUGAUGUAAGACAGUUGUGAAAUCCCCGGGCUCAACCUGGGAACUGCAUCUGUGACUGCAUCGCUGGAGUGCGGCAGAGGGGGAUGGAAUUCCGCGGUGUAGCAGUGAAAUGCGUAGAUAUGCGGAGGAACACCGAUGGCGAAGGCAAUCCCCUGGGCCUGCACUGACGCUCAUGCACGAAAGCGUGGGGAGCAAACAGG